GCGAGUCCGAAUAGGGCGUUCAGUUGCUGGGCGUAGACCCGAAACCAGGUGAUCUAUCCAUGGCCAGGAUGAAGGUGCGGUAACACGUACUGGAGGUCCGAACCCACUAACGUUGAAAAGUUAGGGGAUGAGCUGUGGAUAGGGGUGAAAGGCUAAACAAACCUGGAAAUAGCUGGUUCUCUCCGAAAACUAUUUAGGUAGUGCCUCGUGUCUCACCUUCGGGGGUAGAGCACUGUCAUGGUUGGGGGGUCUAUUGCAGAUUACCCCGCCAUAGCAAACUCCGAAUACCGAAGAGUGCAAUCACGGGAGACAGACAUCGGGUGCUAACGUCCGGUGUCAAGAGGGAAACAACCCAGACCGCCAGCUAAGGUCCCCAAAUAUGGCUAAGUGGGAAACGAAGUGGGAAGGCUAAAACAGUCAGGAGGUUGGCUUAGAAGCAGCCACCCUUUAAAGAAAGCGUAAUAGCUCACUGAUCGAGUCGUCCUGCGCGGAAGAUGUAACGGGGCUAAGCCAUAUACCGAAGCUGCGGAUGCGAGCUAGUCUCGCAUGGUAGGAGAGCGUUCCGUAAGCCUGCGAAGGUGCGUUGAAAAGCGUGCUGGAGGUAUCGGAAGUGCGAAUGCUGACAUGAGUAGCGAUAAAGGGGGUGAAAGGCCCCCUCGCCGUAAGCCCAAGGUUUCCUACGCAACGUUCAUCGGCGUAGGGUGAGUCGGCCCCUAAGGCGAGGCAGAAAUGCGUAGCUGAUGGGAAGCAGGUCAAUAUUCCUGCACCGUCGUUAGAUGCGAUGGGGGGACGGAUCGCGGAAGGUUGUCCGGGUGUUGGAAGUCCCGGUCGCUGCAUUGGAGAAGGCGCUUAGGCAAAUCCGGGCGCAGGAUUCAAGGGUGUGGCGCGAGCUCCUUCGGGAGCGAAGCAAUUGGAAGUGGUUCCAAGAAAAGCCUCUAAGCUUCAGUCUAACGAUGACCGUACCGCAAACCGACACAGGUGGGCGAGAUGAGUAUUCUAAGGCGCUUGAGAGAACUCGGGAGAAGGAACUCGGCAAAUUGGUACCGUAACUUCGGGAUAAGGUACGCCCUGGUAGCUUGACUGGCCUGCGCCAGAAGGGUGAAGGGGUUGCAAUAAACUGGUGGCUGCGACUGUUUAAUAAAAACACAGCACUCUGCAAACACGAAAGUGGACGUAUAGGGUGUGACGCCUGCCCGGUGCCGGAAGAUUAAAUGAUGGGGUGCAAGCUCUUGAUUGAAGUCCCGGUAAACGGCGGCCGUAACUAUAACGGUCCUAAGGUAGCGAAAUUCCUUGUCGGGUAAGUUCCGACCUGCACGAAUGGCGUAACGAUGGCCACACUGUCUCCUCCCGAGACUCAGCGAAGUUGAAGUGUUUGUGAUGAUGCAAUCUACCCGCGGCUAGACGGAAAGACCCCAUGAACCUUUACUGUAGCUUUGCAUUGGACUUUGAACCGAUCUGUGUAGGAUAGGUGGGAGGCUAUGAAACCGGAAUGCUAGUUUCGGUGGAGCCGUCCUUGAAAUACCACCCUGGUUUGUUUGAGGUUCUAACCUUGGCCCGUGAUCCGGGUCGGGGACAGUGCAUGGUAGGCAGUUUGACUGGGGCGGUCUCCUCCCAAAGCGUAACGGAGGAGUACGAAGGUACGCUAGGUACGGUCGGAAAUCGUGCUGAUAGUGCAAUGGCAUAAGCGUGCUUAACUGCGAGACCGACAAGUCGAGCAGGUGCGAAAGCAGGUCAUAGUGAUCCGGUGGUUCUGUAUGGAAGGGCCAUCGCUCAACGGAUAAAAGGUACUCUGGGGAUAACAGGCUGAUACCGCCCAAGAGUUCAUAUCGACGGCGGUGUUUGGCACCUCGAUGUCGGCUCAUCUCAUCCUGGGGCUGUAGCCGGUCCCAAGGGUAUGGCUGUUCGCCAUUUAAAGAGGUACGUGAGCUGGGUUUAAAACGUCGUGAGACAGUUUGGUCCCUAUCUGCCGUGGGCGUUGGAAGUUUGAAGGGGGCUGCUCCUAGUACGAGAGGACCGGAGUGGACGAACCUCUGGUGUACCGGUUGUGACGCCAGUCGCAUCGCCGGGUAGCUAUGUUCGGAAGAGAUAACCGCUGAAAGCAUCUAAGCGGGAAACUCGCCUUAAGAUGAGACUUCCCCGGGGACUUGAUCCCCUUGAAGGGUCGUUCGAGACCAGGACGUUGAUAGGUCGGGUGUGUAAGCGCAGUAAUGCGUUCAGCUAACCGAUACUAAUUGCCCGUACGGCUUGAUCCU
rnacentral:rRNA from 1 species